CCCUUAGAUGCUCUGGGCCGCACGCGCGCUACACUGGUCGAUGCAACGAGUUUCUUUCCUUGGCCGACAGGCCUGGGCAAUCUUUGAACAUCGAUCGUGAUCGGGAUAGAUUCUUGUAAUUUUUGAUCUUAAGCGAGGAAUUCCUAGUAAACGCAAGUCAUCAGCUUGCAUUGAUUACGUCCCUGCCCUUUGUACACACCGCCCGUCGCACCUACCGAUUGAAUGGUCCGGUGAAAUCUCCGGACUGGCGUGAGUCGGAGCAAUCUGACAAACACCGGAAAGUUGAUUAAACCUUACCAUUUAGAGGAAGGUGAAGUCGUAACA
rnacentral:rRNA from 1 species